CUUUGGGAUGUUUUGAUCGUGCAUUGACGGAUGGAUAUUCGGUUGCCUAAACAUCCGGGAUUUAAUUCAAAUCUUGAAUUCAGUAUACAAUAGUAUGGAUCAUACCUUCUCCCCGUCCGGUCAUCACUGUGAUCUUCUGCCUUUUGCAUAGACAUCUUCUUCAUACAGACAUGGAAAAUGACGACAACGAUUCCCCGACGCCGGGUUUAGAUAUUGUAUCUUUCAUCUGUGUUGGUAUCCUCUGAUUAAUGAACACGAAAGAACUCAUGUGUCUGCAUUGUCUAAAAAAAACCAGCAUCUCCUCACCUCAAGGUCAUGUGUCUAAAUCAUCAACUACUUCGUACCCAAGGAUCUCUUGCAUCGAUCUCCAGGGCCUGUUCAAUUACGAUGGCAGCGUCGUGAAAAGUUAUUUCGAAGCUAGGUUUUGUUCGUUAUGAUGGCCAUUUAGAGGUUACGUUAGACGAAGGCUUCGAAAGGUAAGGCUUGGUGGUUGUUUCGGUUUUCUCUUCCAUGUGUUUGAUCUAUUUUCUCUGUGUAUGUUUCGAUGUUUAACGCAUGUACAAACGGUAAUCUUAACAACAUCAAUUAUAGCAUAGGAACGAAAAUCAUUCACAAUGAAAGACAACGAAUCAGCAGACACUGCAGAGCUUAAAACAUGUGUUGAAUCGUGUUGCUAUGGUUUGUAGGGACCAAGCAAUGUCUUGAUACAGUUGCAGAACAUGACUCGGGUGGUACAUGGUCCAAAGAAAGGGGUUGGUGGCGUAACACUUAAUGAGUUCUUGCAGAAUAGAAUUAAAUAUAUGCAGGAUGCAACCAUGAAUACAACGAUGGGAGGAAGUCCUCUUGGCACUCUUGAUACCAACAUAUUGCAUAGUCACAUGAUCCGAAGUGUGGAUUCCCUGAUGACAGAAAGUGGUUCUACAGUGCCAGAAGUUGCAGGGAAAACUGAUGAACAAGGACUUGAACUUGCCGCGAACAUAUUUCAACACGCAGCAGAGUAAAUCCUCAAUUCCAAAGCGAAGAGGUCGUGGACCGGGUGUUAACAGUGUGAUAAACAGUUUAAAUACCGCAAAUGAUCUUCCAGGCGCUUGCCACCAGGAUUUGACGUUACUGCCAGCGUAUCCCAACAAUAAGCUAAUAUCUCAGUCAGUAUGAGCUCAUCUCAAAAGCAACGCAGACGUGGUCCGGGUAUUAACAAUGUCAUAAAAAAAAAUGGAAGCUGCAUUUGAUGAUGCCAUUGUCCUCGCUCCAGGUUAUGAUCUCGACAAAUCAAGCAUACCGUUAUAUAAAUAGUUGUCGGCGCUGAUUUAAUUUCUACCAAAUAAUGUCUUGAUGAGUGAUGACUCAUGUGGAUUGGCAGCAGGACUUGAACUUGCCGCGAACAUAUACCAACAUGCAGUAGCCAACACCUCUACCAGUAAAUCCUCAAUUCCAAAGCGAUGAGGUCGUGGACCGGGUGUUAACAAUGUGAUAAACAGUUUAAAUACCACAAAUGAUCAUUCAAGACGCUUGCAACCAGGAUUUGACGUUGCUGCCAGCGUAUCCCAACAAUCUCCAGCUAAUAUCUCAGUCAGUAGGAGCUCAUCUCAAAAGCAACGCAGACGUGGUCCGGGUAUAUGUUGACAGUGUCAUAAAUAAAAUGGAAGCUACAAUAUUUGAUGAUGCCAGUGUCCUCGCUCCAGGUAUUAUAUCUAACGCAGCUCCCAGACGCCGUGGAAGAGGUCCUGGAAUAAAAAUAUCUAUGUGCAGAAGUUUACCAAGGAUUCUGCUAAUUUAUCGAACCAUCACACAUUAAUAAAACAAAAGGAAUUAUCUACAAUACAUCAACUAAUAAAUCAGAGAGACUAUACCAGGGACCAGCAUUGAUGAGUUUGUGACAAACACGACUGAUGGCACAUCUCAGAAAAUGCAUUACCUUCAUGCCGCGUUGUCUGAGAUGUUGAGGCUAUAUCCUGCACUCCCCGUGGAUGGAAGGUGUGCGGAAGCUGAUUACAUUCUUCCAGAUGGCUACAGAGUUAAAAAGGGCGACAACGUAUACUAUAUAGCAUAUGCAAUUGGCAGGAUGAGCAACAUCUGGGGAGACGAUGCCAAGGACUUUAAGCCGGAAAGAUGGCUCGACAAUGGGAUUUUCCAACCUGAAUCACCAUUCAAAUUCAUUGCAUCUCAUGCUGGACCAAGAAUGUGCCUUAGGAAAGAUUUUGCUUAUCGACAGAUGAAGAUAGUAUCAGUUGGGCUUAUAUUUCUCUUUGUGAUAUGAUUUUUGUAGUUUCUUUUACUUAAUGUGUCACCUUGGAUCCUACAGGGAGAACUUAAGAUUGCAGAUUGUGGAUAGUCAGUGCACACAAUUAAAAGAAGGCAGACCAUGUGCGGAACUUUGGAUUAUCUGCCACCUGAUAUAGUGGGGAGCAUGAUGCAGGUGUGGAUAUCUAGAGUCUUGGUGUACUACAUAUGCUAUGAGUUCCUUUAUGGUAACGUUUAGAUACAUACAUAAGCUGAGCAAAAUUAUAUACUCUAUUUUCUAUCAAUUUCUUAGCUUUUGAAUGGUUUGUUUGUUUAAGAUUUAAAUAAAGUUGCGACUGAAUAUCUAUUUGGUACCAUGAAAAUAUUUUAAAGCUUAUUGUUUUAAUGGAUUGCUUGCUAGAGAUGAAGUGUUGAAAGCUAUGGAACUGUUGGAAGCUGCAGGGCAUUGAUCUUUGGAGAUAUUAAACUUCUUUAGAGAUUUUGAACUUUAUUAUGUACCAAGAUCUCAUUAUCAGGCUUUGUAAGGAUGAAUUUGUAGACCUUACAUCGAUUAUCUAUUAUCUAUUAUAAUUUAACAGAUGAUGUAUAAAGGCUAUACCUUGGAUCAUGCAUCGUUGUGACGAGAUGAUCAUCUAAAGGGAGACGAAGCAAGAGGAAAUGAGGUUGCAGAAGGAAUGCUGAGAUAACUUCUGAAGAUACGGCGGUGAAAAAAGUUUGUGGGGAUGAAAUCAAAGUAACAUAUAACAUUUUUGUAAUAUUACCUCUCUUUUUUUUUACCGUUUUGUGCCUUGGCUUGGUAUUGCAUAUC